CUACGGGUCGCAGCAGUGGGGAAUAUUGGACAAUGGGGGAAACCCUGAUCCAGCAAUGCCGCGUGUGUGAAGAAGGCCUGCGGGUUGUAAAGCACUUUCGGUUGGGAGGACUGCUUCUAGCACUAAUAUUGUUGGAAGUUGACGUUACCUUCAGAAGGAGCACCGGCUAACUCCGUGCCAGCAGCCGCGGUAACACGGAGGGUGCAAGCGUUAAUCGGAAUUACUGGGCGUAAAGCGCGCGUAGGCGGCUAGAUCAGUCGGGUGUGAAAGCCCCGGGCUUAACCUGGGAACUGCAUCCGAUACUGUCUAGCUUGAGUACAGGAGAGGAGAGUGGAAUUCCACAUGUAGCGGUGAAAUGCGUAGAUAUGUGGAGGAACACCAAUGGCGAAGGCAGCUCUCUGGCCUGAUACUGACGCUGAGGUGCGAAAGCGUGGGGAGCAAACAGGAUUAGAUACCCCAGUAGUC
rnacentral:rRNA from 1 species